GGGCCCUCCCUUCAGUGCUACAUAAAGUAAAAUUUGAACGAUACAGAGGUUAGCAUGGUCUCUGCACAAGGAUGACGUAUAAAUUCAUGAAAGUUUCAUAUUUUUU